AUUAUUUCAACCACAUUUCAACAUUGUGAGUUGGUCAUGUGCAGACUGGGACGACGUCUUCCUCUGGGAGUAUAAUAUUUUAAUUUUAAUGUAACAUAAUUAUCAUGUCUUUCAUAGUAAAAUGAAAUGUUCCAGAAAGGGUUUAUCAGAGGAGAACUUUUGAAGUUCUUCAAUAAACCACAUACGUACUUCAAGGAACCCAGAAGGCUUUAGUACUCGAGAUGAACCUGAUGUGACAGUCAGAGAGCCAAACAGAUGAACAUAAAUCUGAACAAAUGUCAUAUGUACUGCUGACCUCUGAUACAGUGAAAUCAGUCACAGACUGAGUUUAUAUAUCAUUGAGAAUGAAUACAGGCUGAGAAUCAUGUUAAAUGUGCUAAAGUUUAGCCGCUAACUGAGGUGCAGCGUUCUGGAAAGUGUGUGUGUGUGCGUCUGUUUGCACACUUACACAAAUACUCAACUCAAGAUGUCUUGGGUCUGUGGCUUGUCCUGCAGAAAAGUAACACUUCAGCUCAGAAACUCACAGUUCUCACCAGAACGCUCAAAAUAACUCGCCUGCAGCGCUGGAAACAGCAAACACACACACACACACACACGCUGUACUCACACAAAUGCAUAGUAGGACAAAUGUGCACAAACACAGGCCAUAAUGACACACAGACACACCACAACUCUGUGUGCAUGCUAACACUACAACUCUGAGGGAAUUCAGAUGCUUUACCGUGGUAAAAAUCACUGGGUACACUGAUCAACAGCACAAAUGCUCAUGCAAACUCUUAUUUAGCAAAUUUGCUAAAUAAUGUGAGGAAGAGAGCCAUAGAUUAAUUAAAAAUAAAUGUGAAAAUAUUCACAUUUUAAAUAAUAAAAUAAAAUAAAAAUAUGUUGCUAAAUAAUGAGAGCAAUCAAGCUAUAGUUGAAAUCUAGAACGUAAGUCUUUACCUUCAGCUCCAAAUAAAUGCUUCAGACCGCAGAUCUGUCCUGCGUCCAGCCAUCCACACUGAUGUAGAGAGCUUGAAGACUCGUCUGAAAAACAGAAAAACUAAUGAUGCAAACUGCAUUUUACACAGUUUGAGGCUUAAUUAGUCUGAGUACAAAUACUAAAGCAACUUCAUACAAGUGUUUCAUGCUGCAGUACUGGAGUAUAUGAACAUAAAAAUAAAUCUGAAAUCUCAGAAUCUGUUAAUUAUUAGAUGGCUCUCUUGAUUCUGAGAGGUGAAUAGUGUAAUUCUGAGGUCAAAUAUGUACAUAUAAUGACUGUAAACUGUAUUAUUGGCCAUUGGUUCAGUGAUACAGCUGUGCUGGUUUUAUGUCUCGUGUAUCAAGAUACACAUAAUAAAAUCAUUUACAUUCAAAUCAACAUUUCAUAGCUAUUAAUAUAAAAAUAUAAUGUAAAAAAAAUUCCAAAACAAACAUAAAAUUAUAAAAUGAAGUUAAAUUAAUUAAUUAAUUAAAUAAUUACUAAUAAUAAAAGAAAAUCAAUACAAAAUUAUAUCAGAUUCAGAGCUAAUCUUAAGUCUUUCUGCUCACAUUUAAAUUUUCACUCAACUCAAUAUUUCAUAGCAAAAAAAAAGAAAACAAUUACAGAAAAAUAAAAUAAUAAAUAAAAGUUAAAUAAAUAAUUCAACAAAUACAUAAUAAAAUAAAAUUAUAAAUCAAACAAAAACAAACAUAAUGAAGUUAAAUAAAUACAAUAUACACUCGAAUCAAUAUUUCAUAGCUAUUAAUAUAAAAAGUAACAUUUCAUAUACAAAAAGAAAAAUAAAUAUGAAAUAAAUAAAAAAUAAAAUAAAAUAAACCAUAGCAGUAAUAACUUGCAAUUAAGGAAUGUCCUGCAUCUACAGUUUAUUGUAAUUCUAUUGGAUUCAGACUCUCUUUCUGCUCACAUAAUGAAAAUCAUUUAGACUCGAAUAAACAUUUCCAUUUAUUU
ensembl:lncRNA